UUACACAGAAAACAAAACCGUGGAUUGCUUGUCCCUUUCAGUAAAGUACUGAUGGCUUGGGAAUAACUGCAUUAAGCAUCUAGUUACCAUGUACCCUGUACAGAGUGACAAAAUGGCCAGUGUAUAUUGGUUAUCAACAAUUAUGCACAUUUUUGUACUGAACUCUUGUCUCCUACAAUACCAAAAGUACUUGAGAAAAAAAUACUAAUUGUUCAUGUGACUUGUGGUAACUGUCCACUGGCUACAUUUAGGCAUCAAAAGGAUAUGUCUGCUCAUUUAAUUUUAUAUUUGUAAUUUGGCC